CAAAGCUGGAAACUGAAAUAGUGAUCUAGAAGUUCAAAUGCAGUAAUUGACAACACAGAAUGAAUCUAAAGAAAUUGAAAUGAUCAUUGAAAAGUUGAUGCAUGAAGGAUAUAUCGUGGGAACUGAUAUCUCAAAAUCUCAAAGGGAGAAAAAGGGAUGUCUCUGAAAGUAGGAAAAAAAAGCAUGAUAAAUGUGAGCAAAAAAAGUAUGAAGUUAGAGGAUUUACUUAAGAUAUUCAAAAUCCAAUUAUGAGAGUUCCAGAGAGAACCAAAAUCAGACAGGAAGAAAUUACAAAAUAGAUUAUGAAGCAAAAUUUCUUAUUGUAUUUUAUUUAUUUUUAAAGGGCAUACAUUUCUAAAUGAUGAAAGUCUAUCAGUCUCUGGGAAAACCAUAAAAAAGUCUCAAACACACAUCAAAAUUUUUCAGAACAUUAAAUAAGAUCCUAAAAGCUUUCAGAGAAAGCGAAUUUAUAGAAAUGAUAACAUACAAAGAUUAGUAAAUAUGAUUUAUACCAGAUAUUUUAACAGUAACAAUGAAGGCUAGGAAAUAGUUUGAAGGGAGAUAAAUUUGUAUACCUAACAAAGACUGGAGAAUGGCCUCCACCAUCAUGAGGCAAAAAAAAAAAAAAAAAAAAAAAGGAAAGGAAAUGUAGAAGACGAAGGAGGGAUCCACAAAGGGUAUCUCCAAGAAAUAGUAAAUAAAAUGGACAGAGUCCUGAUGUGUCAGACUGUGGUAAGGUGAUAUGUUAAAGCAUUUUAAGAUGAUUUAAUAUGAGGUACACAGAACCAUGAACUAAAAUGAAAAAAAAAUGGCUGCACAAGAGGAAAUGUGAUCACUGUAUACAGCUCAGUUGUUAAUAAUAUUUCAGUAUAAACAGUAAAUAUUGAUUUAACAGCACCAACAGCCAUGAUGACAAAAGAUGACAGACUUCUACUGGGAGGCUCAGGAGACAGGAAGCACCUGCUUGUGCUGGGGAUGGGCCGGCAGAGAGGGGAAGGAGUGACAGGAGACAGGACCCUGACCUCGGUGUUUGUCGCGCCGGUCGCGACAAGUGGCGCCCAAACAGGGACCUGAGACAACAAGGAGGAAAGCGAAAGCGGACCGCGCGGCGUCUAAUUCAGAAUUUUGCCGCCGACUCCGAAUUGAGCAUACAACUGGCAUUGCUUAUAAUUCCACAGGACAGGCUAUUGUUGAGCGAGCUCAUCUGACUCUAAAACAAUAUCUGCAAAAACUUAAAGAAGGGGAGAUAUUAAAGGGAAAGAUAAAGUACUCCCCACAUGUACAUCUCACUCUUGUGUUGUAUGUUUUAAAUUUUUUAAAUAUCAAUGAAGCAGGGAUGACUGCCGCAGAGCGUCGCUGGGGAAAGAGUCAAGAACCUCUCUUGAUGGCUAGAUGGAAAGAUAUGCCGGAAGGCGUUUGGCGAGGCCCAGACCCAGUCCUUCGAAAAGGGCGAGGGUAUGCUUGUGUUUUUCCACAGGAUGAGGAAGCGCCACGCUGGGUCCCACUUUGGCUCCUCAGAGACAUUACGGUUGCGCCGAAAAAUGGCCAAAUUGACAGCGACGGAGCCCCCCCCC